rnacentral:lncRNA from 1 species
AUGUGGUGGUACAUCAUUCAACCAGAAAAAGAGGGAAACACUGCCACGUGCUGCAACAUGGAUGGAUAUGAUGCUCAGGAAAGAAAGCAGACACGGAGACCACAUGCUGUGAAGUUCCAUGGAGGUGCUGUGUCCAGCAGAGCCAAGCCCAGACAGAAAGAGGGUUUCCAAGAAAGUACUCAAGUGGACUCUAAGCCCUUGAAGUUUGACUUGACUCAGGCCAGCAAUUUGCCACCCAGGCCUCACCACACUGCCGGAUUUCACCAGGUCCAAGCAUCAAACCAGGAGCUCACUCAGGUACACCCUUUAAGAGACCCCACACAGCUCCUACCUGCUCUGGGAUGGCCUGGACCCCUUCUUCCCCUCCCCCCUCUUCCAUCUGUCCUUCAACCUCUUCCAUCUAUCUCCUCCUGCUCAGUCCUUUCCUCCCCCUCCUCUAUCUAUUCCUCUUCAUCCUCCUGCUCUUCAUGCUCUUCCUGAUCCAUCUUCCUUGCAUCCUCCUCCUCACCUCCGUUCAUGUUUCUCCUCUUCUCACUCUUGUCCCUAUUUCUUAUCCUCAUUCACCUCCUCCUCCAUCCUGCUGCAUCCACCUUUUCUCCUGAAUCCAUCUUUCCUCUUGCUAGACCUUCCUUCCUUUCUUCCCAUCCUCCUCCUCCUCCUGCAUCCUCUCCCCUCCUGCACCUCCUUCAGCCUCACAUGUCCAUCUUCUCCCUCUCUUCCUUUUCUGGACAAGAGUCUGACCUCUAACCUUGGGCUCCUCCAGGUCGUCGGGCACCUCUGGCAGCAGCCCGUAGUUCAUGGAACCCAGAAGGGGCUUCAUGCUCAGGGAUUGGUGCUAGAGGUCCUUGUCACCUUGACCUCAGACCCAUGUGCUCCAGGCACCCACCACAGUCCUCUUCCCUUGAGAUAUUGGUAGAGGGUGAGGGUGCAGCUCAAGCCCACCUUUCUGACACUCCCUGUUGGAUGUGGGCCUCUCCUCUCAAGAUGGUAAGAAGGUAAGCAGGUGGGUGUGGAGAUCAGGUGGGUUCGAUCAGGGCCAGAAGAUGAGCAAGCUUCAGAGCAGGUCAGUGACCGCAAGAACCUCCACCUGCCUGGGGACAUGAUGCAGAGUGGGUUCCAGGCAGCUGCAAGUUCAUUCUAAUUCCACACAAUAUUGGGCUAAGGUCAGAAGUAAGGGUCAGUACUGAGCCCAAAAUGAAGGAGGUCAUCCUUUUCAGGGACAGGGCUGUAACCCAGCAGGGGAGGAUGACCACAGACAGAU